CAGGGUGUCCUAUUACUGAACUAUACCCUCAGCCCUUUUAAAAUUUUUAUUUAAAAAUUUGAAUUUUUAAAUUUUGUCUUAAUUUUUUAAAAUUACUACUACCUAUUUUUUUUUUAAUUUAGGCAGGAUUUCACUCGGUUGCUGGGGUCAGCUUCACAAUUGUGAUUCCCCCGCCUCAGCUUCCAGACCACUGGAUAUAUGAGCUUCAACAUAUGAGUGCAAACAUACACGUUUUGUGAAAUAUGAAAAAUCACUAGAAAAAGACAAUCUCCCAUGUUUUUGGCAGACACAACAUCUUUGUUGCUAUGUGGUGCUGAGGAUCGAACCUGGGCCGCACACAUGCCAGGAGAGCGCGCUACUGCUUGAGCCACAUCCUCAGCCCCAGCUUCUGUCUUUCAAUGAGAAGGAAACUGAAGACUUUAAAGAUAUAAAAAUUACACAGUAUUCAUCAAUACUAGAUCUGUUCUCCACAAAGCACUAAAGGUAAUCCUUUAUUCUAAAAUAUAAGUGUGCACAGCAACACAAGUCAUAUGAAAUUUUACAUUUAUUGGCACAAACAAUUCUAUUUUAUUGUAUGAUGUGUCUCAAAACAUGUAAUUUUGCAUUAUAAUUUGAAAGACAAAAGCAUAAAAACAAAUCUGUUAAUAGGCAUAUAUACCUGUAACAAUAAUAUAAUUUUAGAGGACACAUAAAUAUAUUCAAUUUUUUAAUAAAGUGAAGUCAAGUUGAUACUCAUACAAAGUAUGAGUAGGAAAUUCUUCAUUUUUAGACUUUUUUGUUGGCAAAUGCAAUAUUAAAAAAUUCUGAUCAAAACAAACCUUGGCUAUCUGAAUUAACUCUCAAAAUUACAACUCGAGGUUGUCCACAGGAUACUCUAAGUCUAAGAACACACAUACUGAAAGCAAAGGGAUAUUAGAAUGACACAUACAAAAGUGACCAAACAAAACCUGGGUUGUCUAAAUUAUAGUACACAAAACAUAGUUUAAGAGAGUUGCAGGACAUAAAGGUUUUUUUUUUUUUUUUAAUUUAAAACAUCUUCUAAGAGGCAAAAUAGAGAAAGGGAACCUUUCCCUAGUUUCUGCAUUAAAAGUAAAUACAUUCACAAUGAACAUCCUACUUCCCAAGUGCACAAAGAAAAAAUUGAGAGAGUUGAAUGAAAACCAAGAAUCACUGUCAUCCUAGGAGACAUCAAUCCCCGCUUACUGAAAAGGAAAAUACAGUGAAGCAAAAUGGUAAUUGUAAAGCAUAAGACUUUGAAAAUAUUUUGAAACUAUUGGACUUAUAGAAUCCCUGUUCUUAAUCACAAAUGGGAUAUUAUAUUGGAUUGAACAAUUUUAUGUAUUAAAACAAAGGUUAAUAGAUAUUUAAAUGAUAGUUAUUUGUAACCAACAUGGAAUAAAAAUUUGAAGUAAAAAGUUA